rnacentral:rRNA from 1 species
AACGAACGCUGGCGGCAUGCCUAACACAUGCAAGUCGAACGAAACCUUCGUGUCUAGUGGCGCACGGGUGCGUACCGCGUGGGAACCUGCCCGUAGGUUCGGAAUACCUCCCCGAAGGGGGUGCUCAUACCGGAUAAUCUCUUCGGACCAAAGAUUUCUCGCCUUUGGGUGGGCGCGCGUUGGAUUAGCUAGUUGGUAGGGUACAAGCCUACCAAGGCGACGAUCCAUAGCUGAUCGGAGAGGAUGAUCAGCCACACUGGGAAUGAGACACGGCCUAGACUCGUACGGGAGGCAGCAGUGGGGAAUAUUGGACGAUGGGCGAAAGCCUGAUACAGCAAUGCCGCGUGAGUGAUGAAGGCGGUAGGGUUGUAAAGCUCUUUUACCCGGGAUGAUAAUGACAGUACCGGGAGAAGAAGCUCCGGCUAACUCCGUG